GAGUGGAUAAGUCGAUUACAUUGACCCCAGUGCUCAACUGGCACUUGUUUUAUCAACCCCAAAAGGAGGGAAGGCAAGGUUGACCAUGGCAAAAUUUGAACCCAGGAUGUAAAGCUGCUAAACAGUUUGUCUGGUGUGCUAACAAUUCUACCAGCUCGCCUCAUUAAUAAUAAUAUUAAUAAUAAUAAUUAUAAUUAUAAUUUCAAAUUUUGCCACAAGGGCAGCCAUUUGAGGUGGGGAAUGUGUCGAUUACAUUGAUUCCCAGUACGCAACUGGUACUUAAUUUAUCGAUCCUGAAAGGAUGAAAGGCAAAGUUGACCUUGGCGGAAUUUGAAUUCAGAUAAUAAUGAUAAUAAUAAUGAUAAUGGUAAUAAUACAGUGGGAUUCACAUUUUUAUAAAUUUUCUUAUUUCUGUUUUUGAUGUAUAAAUUUAUAAAGCUUCAUAAUGUUGUUCCAUUAUGUUAAAGAUUUUGAUUAAUGUCUUUGGUUUCAUUUUUCAUAGUUAAGGUUGUUGUUUAAGCUGGUCAUAUCUGGCCCAUAAAUUCUUCCUGUUUUAUCUUUAAACUGGCCAGAUGUGGCUUCUUACACCUCCCUACAAUAUCAUUUUAAAAAAAAGAAAUAUACAUUUAACCCUGGCAAGGUUUUUCACUCAGAAUGCAAGGAACUUGGUUAAGUAUGGUUGAUCUGAUAUUCUUCCAGUUUGUCUGGUAUUCUUCCAUUUCAUCUGGGAUCCUACCAUUUAAUAUGGUAUCCUACCAUUUUGUCUGGUAUUCUUUUAUUUGCUCUGGCAUUCUUCCAUCUAGUAAUCAUGAAAAUAAUGGCAAGUUCUUAUAUCAUCAUAAAGCCACAAAUUAUGAAAGGUGAAUAUGGUUGAUGUUUAUCACCCCACCUACUCCGUGACUAUAAUGUAUUUAUCAACCCUAGGAGUAAGUACAAAGCUUAUUAAAAUCUUUAGUUCAGUUGCUACUACCAGUUGGGUCUCAAAGAAUGGCAAAGCAAUUCCAGGAUAGCUUUAUGGUAUGGUGGGGAAGGGUGAUCAGGAUCUGAAUGUCUGUGCUACAAAUGUGACUCCAGCCAAAGAACGAAGUCAGUGUCAACGUCUUUAGGCUGUGACCCUUUUGUACUGUACCACCAUCAUGUAGUCAGCCAUGUAGCGGAUGAGCCCCACCUGCCUUCUUGUCACAUUGUCAGUGUCAAAUACAAUGCACACUCUCUCCUUUGCUCUACCUUUCUCAAGUGAGUGUUCACCCAACCUACACAUCAAUCAGGGCUCUCCCUAAUUCCUCUUUCUUUAGCAUAUGAAGGCCCAUCCAUUUUUUGGAAAAAAAAGAAAAGAAAAAAAGAAAAGCAGGAGUUAUGUCACUUUUCUUUUUUACCUUUUCUUUAUUAAAUUCCUCAUGCAAGGUGACACUUUCUUUUGCAGUGUACUCUUCCCAGCUGUUUUAUUUCCUGGAGUUGUUUCAUGUCAGUAUUGUUGUUUGACUUGCUAAAGAUAAGCUUGUAUUGUUGUUGUUGUUGUUAGUGGUGGUCGUCGUUGUAAUACUUUGGGCAUUGUCAUUUAAAUUUGCAUUUUUGCAACUUUUUUUUUUAUUCUUAUCAAAUUAUUCAAACUGCCUGCGUUUUAUAACUGUAUCUGAUUAUCAUUUUUUUUUGUGUUUUACUUUUUUCUUUUCUUUUCAAAUCCUUUUUUCUACCCACAUAAAAAGAAAAUUGUGGAGGUGAGGAUUUCACGUCUAGCCCCUCCUUCUGAUACCACAGGGAUUGUUACUAUUAAUCACAAAUAAAGCAAAAUAGGUGUUUGCAGAAAUAUAACUACACAAUAAAAAUGUAUAAUACUGGGCUCUUUUUUUCUCUCUCUCUGCCCCAGCUAAUUGGGUGGGCAUUUUGAGUUUCCAUAGUCCUUAGUGAGUGAAAAGAGUUUUAAAAGAUAAAAAAUUUAUAUUGUGUAACCCUAGAAGAAGCCACCUUCAAAGAGAAUCUUUGUAAAAAUGUGCAUGUACAGCAUACAGCAAUAAUGAUAAUACUUUCACUUAUUUCUCAUAAAAAAAAACAACCCUACAAAUAAAGCUUAUGGGUUUAUGGGAAAUGUACAAACAUAGUUAUUUAAAGGCAAGGGAUGGUGCAAAAACAUUAUACAAUACAUAAGGACAUAAAAAAUUUAUGAAUGAAAGUAAAUAAAAUACACACACAUGCACAUACAACAAAUAAGGGCAACCCAACUUGACACAGAUGAAAAGCCACCCCAGAUGGUAAUAAUACUAUACAAAAUACUAGGUUUAUUUGCUGCCCACUGAUUUUGCGAAAGUGCAAAUAUUCCGUUGUUGUGUGAUUAUCUAUUGCCCCAUUUAGAAUUGAUGCAUAUAUGCAACAUUGUUGAUACCUCUCUUUCAACUUCAUGCUGCUGUUAUGACACCAGGUUAGCCUUUAUCAAAAUGCAUGACAUCUAAGUAGUCUGUUUCAUUGACUGCAUGCAAUCUCCAGAUUCAUUGAUGCAUAUACAACAUGCUUUAACUAGUUGCACCAUGCUCUACUUUUUCAGAUGCUUGACUUAUAUAGAAUGUAGUGUGGAAGAUUUAGACAUGUUGCAUUUUCCUUAUUGUUACAGACUGCAGCUGUGGUACCUAAGGUGUGCCUGGUGGAAGCCCAACAGCUAUUGUUAUACUGCACCGAUAAUGUACAUUUCUGCACAGUGUUCAUAUGACCAAUGAGGUUGUUAUUGCUGCUGUAUUUGUUUGUCUGGACUGAGUGGAAAGCAAAGUGUAUUUGUAUGCAAUGUAAAUAGAGCUCUGAGCUGCUUUCAAUGUAUCUGGUGGUCAAAUAUACAGUAGUACAGUGUGAAGAUUCAAAUGUGGUAGCAAAACAUGUCCUUUAACUUUUGAGUAUGUUAUUUUCAUUGUGUAGGUAUGCUGUCUUCAUCAUUUAAUGUCCAUUUUCCAUGAUGGCAUAGGUUGAAUUGUUUGAUAGGUUCUGGUGAAGUUGAAGGGCUGUGCAGAGUUCCAGUGUAUUCUUUGGUGUAGUUUCUUAGGCUGGAUGCCCAUCCUAAUGCCAGCCACUUUACAGAGUGUACUGGGUCCUUUUUACAUGUCUCGAGUACUAGUGAAGUUGCUGAGUAACUUAGAAGACGGAAAAAGAAAACGUUCCCAUUGCAAAGUGAUGGUUGGGCAGAUGGGGGAGGGGCAGGUACAUGAAAGGGGAAGAUGGAGUGUAGUGGCUUUAUGCCAGGUGUUGAAAGUAUGGGAGCUGGACAAGCACGAGUGUUCUUGCUAUUGAGGAUAUCCCACAUUAUGUAUAGGAGUAGAUGAGAGUAUAAUUCUAUUAGAAAUAGUACAUAGUAAUCUGAAUGCUGAAAGGUUAAACAGAUCUAUAGUCAAGGGUAUUCCAUCUAUGACCAUCCCAUCAUUUUUUCCGGAAAUAGUGUAGCCAGGACUACAUUAUCCACUAUGUCCUUUUUUAAGAAAGUAGAGUGUAAUUUGAGAACAAUUUCCAGCAGAUUGAACAACUUUUUUUCCUGGAGUGGAUGCAAAUGGUUAAAAUAUAUGGCUGGAGGUUCUGUUUUGCUUUACAGAAGAAUUAGUAAUGUUUGUAUUGUUGAUGUUGUUGUUGUUACAGAAAAAGAUAUUAAGCAACACUAACAAUAAAUCAAAAAACAUGAAAAUAAACAAGCUUUUGACAGUUUUAUAGAUAUUUCAAAAUUAUGAUGCUACGAUGCUCGGUGUUUCCAUUAUUUUGUCAACCCCUGUAUAUACAUACAUAUAUUUAUAUAUAAAACAGUUAUUACUAUUUACUCCAAUAAAGGAAAAUAUGUUAUGACCAUUAUUUAUACCUUGUCUUGUGUGUGCAUAUGUAUGUAUGUAUGUAUGUAUGUAUGUAUGUAUGUAUGUGUACACACACACACAAACAGAUAGUAGGUACUUAUGCUGAGUGGUCAGGAUGACUUCAUGCCUCAACUCCAAUUCAAAUGCUGCUUAAAAUGCAGGGAUGUUAUAGUUGCCUAAAUGAUGGGAACUGGCUGUCAGCAAUGUAUCAUUCUAGCUGGGACAUGUAUAAUAAUAUAAAAGGAUAGACAGGGAUCAACAGGUACUGCUUCAGAAUAUGACACUUAUUUAUACAACAGAAAGGGAGAAACAAAUGCUUUAAGGAAUUUAAAUCACAACCGAUCAGUACAAGUUCCAUUCAAGAAUUUUCUUAAUGGUUGCAAUAUAUGCUGGUAUGCUCUUGGAAUAGUUAUAAGGUAAGUCCCACCACUAAAAUGCUAGUUGCAGACAGCUUGCAGGGAACUGCACCAACUAUGCAUCUAUUCUUGAAACAACUGUAAGGAACAAUCUGCAUACCUUCUUUCUUCUCUUUCAGUUUUAAGAUUUUACCUGUGUUGACCUACUUUUAUCUACUGUGUAUUAUCAAUACUAUAGAAUUAUGUAAUAUAUCUCUGCACAAUACUUAAAUGAUUACAUGUAUGUUUAAAAAUAAUGUAAAGAAAACAAAUGAAAAAAGAAAAUGUUAUACAUGUCUACUUUUAUUUAGUUCUUUCUAUUUUCCUCUCUCAUUCUCCCAGGUCUGCAUAUGUGUCUUUUGGAGGUCUGCUGAUGAGGCUACAAGGAGACGCCAACAAUCUACACGGCUUUGAAGUUGAUUCCCACGUCUACCUUUUAAUGAAGAAGCUGGCAUUUUAAGAAAACUGAUAAUUGCAUGAACACACUGACAGACACAUACAUGUAACAUUCAUCUAUAAAUUCACCCUAUAUAUAUCCCCAUACAUGCACACACACACACACACACACACACACACACGUGUGUGUAUAAAGCUACAAAAAUGACUUGACAUGCCCAAAAUUUCAUGUCAAGGCACUUAUUGAUCACAAACCAUUAUCUCUUUGAAUUACACGUAUACACAUUCUCAGGAAUCACACGCACACACACAAACACACACACUAGAAGUGCACACUUUUAAAUACACAUACAUGCCUCUCUACAUAACCAUAUAAUUUAUGAGCUCAUAACAUUAACACAGAAAAUGUCUUAAAAUAAAUACACACAACAAACACUACAUGCUUUAAACAUAUAUACCAUAAACAUGGUAUUUAUAUUUUCAACAUAACAUAUACAUAGCAUACACAUAGCAUAUAGAUACCUUAAACACAGCCUCUAUACAUACCACAAACACAUACAGAUGCCUUAAACACACCAUAUACACAUCAUAAAUAUCAAAAAUUUCUAUUUUUCCAAUCUUUGUAAGAUUUGUUUUUUAAAUAAAGAUCACUGCCACUUUUGAAAUUCCUUUGU
rnacentral:lncRNA from 1 species